rnacentral:lncRNA from 1 species
AUGCUUUGGAGAGGAGGGCCGGAGCGAGACAGGAAGCGAGCACAGAAGUACUUCCUGGAGAGCCAUCGGGGCAGGGGUAACUGCCGCCACUCCUCUAAAGACCAGGAGAAAACCACUAGUAGGACUGAUGAGUCCAUGGUACCUUACUUCUUUUUAGGCCACAGCUCAAACCAAAGCAAAAAAAUACACCUCCAAGAUAGUGGCUCCGGUGGAGCUCUAGAUCCCUCUCAUACCAACAUCUCCACUGCCUCGGGGUAUAAAGACGCUGGGCCUGUAAAGAGCAGCAUCAGUGCUUCUGUGGCAGAUGAACAAAUCUUAGCCGUCGUCAGCAGGAAACUGUAUCUCAGAGGAAGGUUCGGCAGACCGGUGAUCCCAUCCAAAAAACCCUGGUAUCACUUCCCCCAGCUCUUCAGCACAGUGUCAAACGGUCGGGCGAUUGAGAGAUUCAGAAAGUCCCUGUUCCACUACGGAAGCAGUCCCUACAGUCUCAAGGUGGAGCUUAACAAGGUUAAAAAGCUUAACAAAGUACAAGACACCAGAAACAUACAACAACAUUAG